rnacentral:tRNA from 1 species
CCCAAUGUAGGAUAAUUGGAAGUCCUCAGACCCGUCCAGGCAGGCAAUCAUCCUAAGUGACGCGGAUUCAAAAUCCGUUGGUGCUUACGCACCGUGAGGGUUCAAGUCCCUCCUCGGGCA